AACGAACGCUGGCGGCAUGCCUAACACAUGCAAGUCGAACGAGACCUUCGGGUCUAGUGGCGCACGGGUGCGUAACGCGUGGGAAUCUGCCCCUUGGUUCGGAAUAACAGCGAGAAAUUGCUGCUAAUACCGGAUAAUGACGUAAGUCCAAAGAUUUAUCGCCAAGGGAUGAGCCCGCGUAGGAUUAGCUAGUUGGUGUGGUAAAGGCGCACCAAGGCGACGAUCCUUAGCUGGUCUGAGAGGAUGAUCAGCCACACUGGGACUGAGACACGGCCCAGACUCCUACGGGAGGCAGCAGUGGGGGAAUUUUUGGACAAUGGGCGCAAGCCUGAUCCAGCAAUGCCGCGUGCAGGAUGAAGGCC
rnacentral:rRNA from 1 species